CUAAAAGGAAAGCUCCUUCCACUUCAAGGGGCCCUUGCCCUGAGCUCCCUCUUGAAAAGUCCCCUCAGGAAUGUGCUCAGGGUGAGCUGGAGCUGUGAGCAACCGUGACCCAGACCCACGCAACACCUUCUCAGCAGGAGAAUGAACCUGCCCUGCUGGGGGUCUCUCCUCUCACCCAGAGCUUCUCCCCACAGUGCCGUGGGGAGUUCCCUGGGCAGGCUGAGUGCUGACCCUUGCAGGCGGCAGAGUCACUGCCCCAGGCACACAGCACCCUGCGGCACAGGGAUACUGCUCUGAAUUACAGCUCUGCGCUGACCUGGGUGCAUUCCCUGGCUUCACAACCCCAGAAGUCACCCCUGGGAUAAGGUAGCAGCAUGCCCUGUCCCUGUGAUGGUGUAGCAGGAAUCCUGCUCUGAAGCAUCUUCUCCUCCUCAGCACAAGAGAAGUCAGGAGAGAGAUCCUUAAGAACACAGUCGUGGGAUGGGCUGGGUUCAGAAGACCCCUCCAGGAACCUCAGUAGCAUUGCCUUGCAGCCAGAGAAUUACUGUGUCAGGAGCUGUGAAGAUUUCUUCCACAAGGAGCUCUCUUCUCUCUUAAGAGGAAUGGUUAUAGUAGACUUGUUGAUUAAUAUAAACAGUUUGUUUAGUUGGCUACAGUUACCAAAUACAAACAAUGCCACAGCCUGUAAUGCUGCAAUGCAGGUCCUAAAAGCAUUUCAGCACUUCUAUUUGUACAUCUGUGCCUUUUCCUUAAGGAGAAAGCUAAAGCAUAAAUAGACUUGGUGCUGUUCUGUUCCUUCUUACUUUUAGGCAGGAAAUCUGUUCUGUUGUUUGGCAUUCCUGUAUUACAGCAUCUGGACCUUUAGGAGAAGCACCUGAGAGCUGUUAAAGUAUGGACAGUCAUGCUACGUGGUUGGAUGCUCAUCUGCCACAUAAGAGGAUUAUCUCCCUUCGGGUUAUGUGAUGGUUGCCUCUGUGGUCAUCUACCAGCAAUGUCUAGUCAGUGCCUGCAUCUACUGCUAGCACUUUCCCCCUGGGGACCAGAACUGCCUGAGUGUUGCUCACCUGAUCAGACACCCAGAGAAAUGCAUCCUGGGAAAGGAUGCUUGCUGCUUUGGUCAUGGGGGGGGGGGGGGGCCUUGAGAGCAGAGGGCUGUGCUGGCUGGGAGAGGAGAGGAGGCCUUGGAGUUGACAGUUUCCUCUCACACUUUGAGCAUGACUCUGCUGCCUGGAGACGUCCCUGCAGGGAGCUGUUUCUCCAUCCCCACGUCUCUCCCCUCUCAGUGCUCACACACCCCAUCCCACCCACUGGGUGCUCAGCUCUGCCCUGCAGAAACCUCCCGAGGGCAGGGCACUGCCAAUUGACACCUCCGUGUUUGCAGGUGCUACGGAGUAGGUGAGACAAACCUUGCUGAGGCUGGAAAGGGGAUGCUGGUUCUGUCCUUAGGCUGAGGGGCGGAUGAAGGCAUUUGCUGAGUCCCUCCCAGAACUGAUCCUCUCUCAGUGUCACUGUUUUCGAGCCUCCGUCCUCUGUCUAAACCUGACAGAGCCAAUCCCAUUUCACCCAACCAAAAGAGCAUCAAAGUGAAAGCACAGACUCAGGACAGCUCCUUCCCUUUCAUAUAAUCCCUGCCUUGACCUUCCUUUUGGAAAGGCCCCUCCAGAAAUGCCCUGGGAGUGAGCUGGAGCUGUGGGCAGCCCUGACCCAUGCAGCAUCCUCCUGAGAGAAGGCUCAACCUGCCCUGACGGGGGUCUCUCCUCCCACCCAGAGCUUCUCCCCACAGCACUGUGGGGAGCUCCCCGGACAGGCUGAGUGUGGCAGAGUCACUACUCUGGGCGCACAGCACCCUGCAGCACAGGUACACUGCUGCGAAUUACAGCCCUGGGCAGACCUGUCUGCACACCCAGUCUUCAUACCUGUUCAGUGUCCCUGGGAGAAGGUAGCAGGAUGCCCAGUAGCAUUGUCCUGCAGCCAGAGACUUACCGUGUCAAUGACUGUGAAGAUUUCUCUCACAAGGAGCUCUCCUCUGUCCUCCCACUCCACACUGCCUUUCAUGUCUCUCUGCCUUGUCUCAUCUUCUGGCAGCAAUUGAAAGCAGUGUCCGCAGCCCUGCUGCUCUUUGCAGAGGAGCUGCUCCUGCACACAGCUGUCUCUGGGCAGUGCUGACAGGUUGCCAUGAGCUCCCUCCAUCCCCAGAACCUGGCCCUGCUCAGGAGCAGAGGUCCAGGUGAAGGCAUGGAUUUCUCUGUCCCUUGUGCUCCCUCCUCCUGGGAAAUGUUCCCUGAAGUAGACUAAAAUAAUCAGCUAUUGUCCUUUUCUAAAGAGUGCAGAGAGACUGAUUCCAGCAUUGCAAUUUGUCUUAUCAGAGAAAGGUGUCUUAUCUAUGAAAGGUGGAAACA
rnacentral:lncRNA from 1 species